CCUACGGGAGGCAGCAGUGAGGAAUAUUGGUCAAUGGGCGCGAGCCUGAACCAGCCAAGUAGCGUGAAGGAUGACUGCCCUACGGGUUGUAAACUUCUUUUAUAAAGGAAUAAAGUGAGGCACGUGUGCCUUUUUGUAUGUACUUUAUGAAUAAGGAUCGGCUAACUCCGUGCCAGCAGCCGCGGUAAUACGGAGGAUCCGAGCGUUAUCCGGGUAUAUUGGGUUUAAAGGGAGCGUAGAUGGGUUGUUAAGUCAGUUGUGAAAGUUUGCGGCUCAACCGUAAAAUUGCAAUUGAUACUGGCAGGCUAGAGUACAGUUGAGGUAGGCGGAAUUCGUGGUGUAGCGGUGAAAUGCUGAGAUAUCACGAAGAACACCGAUUGCGAAGGCAGCUUACUAAACUGCCACUGACAUUGAGGCUCGAAAGUGUGGGUAGCAAACAGGAUUAGAUACCCGUGUAGUC
rnacentral:rRNA from 1 species